rnacentral:lncRNA from 1 species
UUUUGACAAGACAUGGGAAUAUGGGAUCGUAUAUAACUUCAUGCAGCUCACUAUACAUGUAGAGAUUUCUUGAUUUUGUUCGUUUCGGUAUUUUUAUUUUUUUAUAAUAUAGAGUUGCACAUACCAUCAUAUGAACAAAUAUAAUAGUACUAUUAUUCUCUAUGCAUGCUCUUGUGUUACAUUUAUAGAAUUUACCACUUUGUCAUAUCGAAAAAGAAAGAAAAAAAACGAAAGAAAACAAAAAAGGGGGUUUUGUUGUAUGGAUCUUCAUAAGCUGAGCCAUCACAGUUUUGAAGUAAGACGUGGACAACUCCAUAGCCGCACUUUAAUGGCUAUCCAAGAGUCUCUAGAGACGUCAAUGUCCAAAAAAAUUGUUCUCAUCUAACUCUUUCCUUUGUCCUUUUUUAUUCUUCC